CGACACGUGUCGCCAUCGAAAAAUUGGGCCGGGUCUGAAAGCUCUAGAAUGUGCCUUUCAUCAGUCUCAGAAUUUCCCAUAGGAUGAAACAGCAAGAGGUGCUUUUGGAAGAAAGUUAAUUCCCUUGGUGGGCAGGAGAAUAAAUAAAAUGCAGGCCUGACACGGGAUUUUUAAAAAACUGAGUAAUGGCAGGCAGGUGUGUGCCUGUGUGUGUGCGUGCGCGCGUGUGUGCACAGUAUGUAACCAAGUACCCAAGCAUCUAGAAAAAAUUUCUAGUUUUUUUCUAGAUGUUGUACAGGUGGUGCUGUAACUGAUUUAAGAUUGUUAUGCCUAAUAAGCCAUAGAAUGGCAAUGUCUCACUAUUCAACUGUCCAGUGAUCCUAAAGUUCACAGUUAUGUCCACUUUUCCACCUUUACAGUCAAGAGGAACAGAUUGUGGGUGUGGGUGUGCCACAGCAGAUUCCAUUCUAAACAUUUUAUCCCAUGCAAUAUAUAUUUUUUUUAAUUGAAAAUUCCAUGAAGUGGGUAUUUAUUUCUCUUUCUUUUCCCCAACAGAGCAAGACAAUCCCAGAGAGAUGAAUGAAGUGAAUGACCCAAGGUUACACAGGAUGGAACCUAUAUCUUCUGAUUUCUCUACUGGCCUGCACUCCACGUUCUGAGGAGGAGUCCUUGAAGCUACUGAGAUAAUGGAACAAUGGAGUAGAUAGUCCAUUAUAACUCAUCUGGGAUUCUUCUCAACUUCAAGUGACCACAGAAAAAAGGUUGUCCUGUCCAUUCUGUCCCUUUUGCUGUACCCAUGGUGACUGCAUCAGCCUGAGAAGACUGUGAUGUUACGUCUCUGCUUGAGAUGUUAGGGGACUGGAGAUGGCUCAGCAGUUAAGAGCUUUGGCUGUGGCUUGGGAGAAAACAAGGCUUGAAGAGGAGCAGGCGAGGC
rnacentral:lncRNA from 1 species